NNCCCUUGAGCACGCCUGAUCUCGUCUGAUCUCGGAAGCUAAACAGGGAUGGGCCUGGUUAGUACUUGGAUGGGAGUCCGCCUGGGAAUACCAGGU
rnacentral:rRNA from 1 species